UUUCUGGAUAUCUUGUCGUUGUCCUAUAAGUAGUUAAAAGGAAUCUUCCUGGCCUGGAGGGAUGGCUCAGCUGUUAAAGGCUAGGCUCACAACCAAAAUUAUA
rnacentral:miRNA from 1 species